UACGUAGGCAGCGAGCGUUGUUCGGAAUUACUGGGCGUAAAGAGUGUGUAGGCGGUGUUCCCAGUCUGUUGUGAAAUCUCCCGGCUUAACUGGGAGGGUGCAGCGGAAACUAGAAUGCUAGAGGGUGGGAGAGGUAAGCGGAAUUCCUGGUGUAGCGGUGAAAUGCGUAGAUAUCAGGAGGAACACCUGUGGUGUAGACAGCUUACUGGACCGAUUCUGACGCUGAGACACGAAAGCGUGGGUAGCAAACAGG
rnacentral:rRNA from 1 species